GAUGAACGCUGGCGGCGUGCCUAAUACAUGCAAGUCGAGCGAACGGACGAGAAGCUUGCCUCUCUGAUGUUAGCGGCGGACGGGUGAGUAACACGUGGAUAACCUACCUAUAAGACUGGGAUAACUUCGGGAAACCGGAGCUAAUACCGGAUAAUAUUUUGAACCGCAUGGUUCAAAAGUGAAAGACGGUCUUGCUGUCACUUAUAGAUGGAUCCGCGCUGCAUUAGCUAGUUGGUAAGGUAAUGGCUUACCAAGGCAACGAUGCAUAGCCGACCUGAGAGGGUGAUCGGCCACACUGGAACUGAGACACGGUCCAGACUCCUACGGGAGGCAGCAGUAGGGAAUCUUCCGCAAUGGGCGAAAGCCUGACGGAGCAACGCCGCGUGAGUGAUGAAGAUCUUCGGAUCGUAAAACUCUGUUAUUAGGGAAGAACAUAUGUGUAAGUAACUGUGCACAUCUUGACGGUACCUAAUCAGAAAGCCACGGCUAACUACGUG
rnacentral:rRNA from 1 species